rnacentral:rRNA from 1 species
UACGGGGGAGGCAAGCGUUGUUCGGAAUUACUGGGCGUAAAGGGCUCGUAGGCGGCCAACUAAGUCGGACGUGAAAUCCCUCGGCUUAACCGGGGAACUGCGUCCGAUACUGGAUGGCUUGAGUAUGGGAGAGGGAUGCGGAAUUCCAGGUGUAGCGGUGAAAUGCGUAGAUAUCUGGAGGAACACCGGUGGCGAAGGCGGCAUCCUGGACCAACACUGACACUGAGGAGCGAAAGCCAGGGGAGCAAACGGG